UUGCCAGCCGCCGCGGUAAUAACCGCGCCGCAAGGGGUAGUCACGAUUAUUGGGCCUAAAGCGUCCGUAGCCGGCUUGAUAAGUCUCUGGUGAAAUUCUACAGAAAACUGUGGAGAUGGCUGGAGAUACUAUCAGGCUUGGGACCGGGAGAGGUCGAGGGUACGUCAUGGGUAAGGGUAAAA
rnacentral:rRNA from 1 species